GAUCAUGGCUCAGGAUGAACGCUAGCGGGAGGCCUAACACAUGCAAGCCGAGCGGUAUAGAAUCUUCGGAUUUUAGAGAGCGGCGUACGGGUAGCGGAACACGUGUGCAACCUUACCUUUAUCUUGGGAUAGCCUUUCGAAAGGAAGAUUAAUACCCGAUAAUAUAUAAUAUGGCAUCAUAACAUAUUGAAAGCUCCGGCGGAUAGAGAUGGGCACGCGCAAGAUUAGUUAGUUGGUGAGGUAACGGCUCACCAAGACGAUGAUCUUUAGGGGGCCUGAGAGGGUGAUCCCCCACACUGGUACUGAGACACGGACCAGACUCCUACGAGAGGCAGCAGUGAGGAAUAUUGGACAAUGGGUGCAAGCCUGAUCCAGCCAUCCCGCGUGAAGGACGACUGCCUAUGGGUUGUAAACUUCUUUUGUAUAGGGAUAAACCUCUCCUCGUGAGGAGAGCUGAAGGUACUAUACGAAUAAGCACCGGCUAACUCCGUG
rnacentral:rRNA from 1 species